GGGAAUAUAGCUCAGUGGUAGAACACUUGCCCAGAAUGCAGGAGGCCCUGGCUUCAAUUCCCAGUACCA
rnacentral:tRNA from 1 species